AUUGAACGCUGGCGGCAUGCUUUACACAUGCAAGUCGAACGGAAACAGGCCGCAAGGUGCUGACGAGUGGCGAACGGGGGAGUAAUGCAACGGAACGUGCCCAGUCGUGGGGGAUAACUACUCGAAAGAGUAGCUAAUACCGCAUACGAUCUAAGGUUGAAAGCGGGGGACCGCAAGGCCUCGCGCGAUUGGAGCGGCCGAUGUCAGAUUAGGUAGUUGGUGGGGUAAAGGCUCACCAAGCCAACGAUCUGUAGCGGGUCUGAGAGGACGACCAGCCACACUGGGACUGAGACACGGCCCAGACUCCUACGGGAGGCAGCAGUGGGGAAUUUUGGACAAUGGGCGCAAGCCUGAUCCAGCAAUGCCGCGUGCAGGAAGAAGGCCUUCGGGUUGUAAACUGCUUUUGUACGGGACGAAACGGCUCUGGAUAAUACCCGGGGCUAAUGACGGUACCGUAAGAAUAAGCACCGGCUAACUACGUG
rnacentral:rRNA from 1 species